rnacentral:rRNA from 1 species
GAUGAACGCUAGCUACAGGCUUAACACAUGCAAGUCGAGGGGAAACGACAUCGCAAGCUUGCUUUUGAUGGGCGUCGACCGGCGCACGGGUGAGUAACGCGUAUCCAACCUGCCCAUCACUUGGGGAUAACCUUGCGAAAGUAAGACUAAUACCCAAUGAUAUCUCUAGAAGACAUCUGAAAGAGAUUAAAGAUUUAUCGGUGAUGGCUGGGGAUGCGUCUGAUUAGCUUGUUGGCGGGGUAACGGCCCACCAAGGCAACGAUCAGUAGGGGUUCUGAGAGGAAGGUCCCCCACAUUGGAACUGAGACACGGGCCAAACUCCUACGGGAGGCAGCAGUGAGGAAUAUUGGUCAAUGGGCGAGAGCCUGAACCAGCCAAGUAGCGUGCAGGAAGACGGCCCUAUGGGUUGUAAACUGCUUUUAUAAGGGAAUAAAGUGAGAGUCGUGACUCUUUUUGUAUGUACCUUAUGAAUAAGGACCGGCUAAUUCCGUG